AUUGAACGCUGGCGGCAGGCCUAACACAUGCAAGUCGAGCGGAUGAAGGGAGCUUUCUCCUGGAUUCAGCGGCGGACGGGUGAGUAAUGCCUAGGAAUCUGCCUGGUAGUGGGGGAUAACGUCCGGAAACGGGCGCUAAUACCGCAUACGUCCUGAGGGAGAAAGUGGGGGAUCUUCGGACCUCACGCUAUCAGAUGAGCCUAGGUCGGAUUAGCUAGUUGGUGGGGUAAAGGCCUACCAAGGCGACGAUCCGUAACUGGUCUGAGAGGAUGAUCAGUCACACUGGAACUGAGACACGGUCCAGACUCCUACGGGAGGCAGCAGUGGGGAAUAUUGGACAAUGGGCGAAAGCCUGACCCAGCCAUGCCGCGUGUGUGAAGAAGGUCUUCGGAUUGUAAAGCACUUUAAGUUGGGAGGAAGGGCAGUAAGUUAAUACCUUGCUGUUUUGACGUUACCAACAGAAUAAGCACCGGCUAACUUCGUG
rnacentral:rRNA from 1 species